GACAGAGGGGCCGAGCGUUAGGCGGAAUCACUGGGCUUAAAGCGUGUGUAGGCGGACUUCUAAGUACCUUGUGAAAUCCCACGGCUCAACCGUGGAACUGCUUGGUAUACUGGUUGUCUUGAGCCACUUAGGGGCAGUCGGAACAGACGGUGGAGCGGUGAAAUGCGUAGAUAUCGGGAGGAACACCAGUGGCGAAGGCGGUUGCCUGGAGCUUUGCUGACGCUGAGGCGCGAAAGCGUGGGGAGCGAUCCGG
rnacentral:rRNA from 1 species